CGAGGGAAGUCCCUGUAUCAUAUUUUAGAUUUCACAUCCAAAUAGCAAAAUGCCUAUCUCGUGAUCACUUCUGACUUUCCUGACCUCGUCAUCAGUGAUCACAUGGUAGCCCUGGACAUCAACAAGUCCAUCUAGUCGACCAAGCUCCUGCUUUGCUUAUUGACUCUGCAGCAACAGAAAACUAAUACCGUCAUCAAGAGAUUUCUGGUCUAAGAGAGCUAAUCUGGUUAAGGAAGAUACUGAAGUUGGUGUGUAUGCAGUGGAAGCUGAGUAUCACAUGGAUAUUCAUAAACAGUUUUGUUUCCUUAAACACAAGUCACCUUGCUCCACAGCAACAGUUCUAGGUCCAAAGUCAAAGGAAUCUAUUUACUAGAAAUAAAAAUAUGUAAGUGAAAGUAGCAAUGUUACAUCUACUAUUUAGUAAGUGUUUUCUUCAAGUAAAGCAAAACUCUUCAGUUUGUGUGUUUGCUUCAGUGAAACUGUAUCACCAACUUAGCCUCAAAUCCAGGAAUUGAAGAGGAGAUAAAUCUUUACCCAGUCAGCUCGCUGCUAGAGAGGAAGGAAACUUUAAUAACUUGAUGACAACAUCACUGUCAGCUGAACACUUUACUGCAGAACCUAUGGAAAUAAAUCUGGCUCCUCCACUCACCUUUGCUGACUAUACUGAAAAUGAAUGACUGUUUAGUAUCACAGAAGUACAUGUAACAAUCGAGCAGCCCGUGUUACUUGGAAAUUAUGGUGCCCAUAAGUAUUAAAAUGUAAAACUUAAAAAA